rnacentral:rRNA from 1 species
UUGUCUCAAAGAUUAAGCCAUGCAUGUCUCAGUACAAGCCAAAUUAAGGUGAAACCGCGAAAGGCUCAUUAAAUCAGUUAUGGUUCCUUAGAUCGUACCCACAAUUACUUGGAUAACUGUGGUAAUUCUAGAGCUAAUACAUGCAAACAGAGUUUGAACCGGAGACGGAACAAACGCUUUUAUUAGAUCAAAACCAAUCGGUGGCAGGUUCGCUUGUCGUCGUAUUAUUUGGUGACUCUGAAUAACUUUCUGCUGAUCGCACGGUCUAGCACCGGCGACGCAUCUUUCAAAUGUCUGCCUUAUCAACUGUCGAUGGUAGGUUCUGCGCCUACCAUGGUUGUAACGGGUAACGGGGAAUCAGGGUUCGAUUCCGGAGAGGGAGCCUGAGAAACGGCUACCACAUCCAAGGAAGGCAGCAGGCGCGCAAAUUACCCACUCCCGGCUCGGGGAGGUAGUGACGAAAAAUAACGAUACGGGACUCAUCCGAGGCCCCGUAAUCGGAAUGAGUACACUUUAAAUCCUUUAACAAAAAUCAAUUGGAGGGCAAGCCUGGUGCCAGCAGCCGCGGUAAUUCCAGUUCCAAUAGCGUAUAUUAAAGUUGUUGCGGUUAAAAAGCUCGUAGUUGAAUCUGUGUCCUGCGCCGCCGGUUCAUCGCUUGCGGUGUUCAACUGGCGUGCUCGCGGGACGUCCUGCCGGUGGGCGCAGCCCGUAACAAGGCGGCCCAGCAUCAAUCCUAUCGCGGUGCUCUUGAUUGAGUGUCGAGGUGGGCCGGCACGUUUACUUUGAACAAAUUAGAGUGCUUAAAACAGGCUGAAUUUUGCCUGAAUACUGUGUGCAUGGAAUAAUAGAAUAGGACCUCGGUUCUAUUUUGUUGGUUUUCGGAACUCCGAGGUAAUGAUUAAUAGGGACGGAUGGGGGCAUUCGUAUUGCGACGUUAGAGGUGAAAUUCUUGGAUCGUCGCAAGACGAACAGAAGCGAAAGCAUUUGCCNNNNNNNNNNNNNNNNNNNNNNNNNNNNNNNNNNNNNNNNNNNNNNNNNNNNNNNNNNNNNNNNNNCUGACCAUAAACGAUGCCAGCUAGCGAUCCGCCGACGUUCUUUCGAUGACGCGGCGGGCAGCUUCCGGGAAACCAAAGCUUUUGGGUUCCGGGGGAAGUAUGGUUGCAAAGCUGAAACUUAAAGGAAUUGACGGAAGGGCACCACCAGGAGUGGAGCCUGCGGCUUAAUUUGACUCAACACAGAAAAUUUCACCAGGUCCGGACACCGGAAGGAUUGACAGAUUGAGAGCUCUUUCUUGAUUCGGUGGGUGGUGGUGCAUGGCCGUUCUUAGUUGGUGGAGCGAUUUGUCAGGUCAAUUCCGAUAACGAACGAGACUCUAGCCUGCUAAAUAGGCGUAUUUCCGGCAUCUUAAAGGUCCGCCAGCAAUUGUGCUUCGGUACAGUAGUUGUGCGUGGUUUUUACUGCCGGCGUACAUUCAAUUCUUCUUAGAGGGACAGGCGGCUUUCAGUCGCACGAGAUUGAGCAAUAACAGGUCUGUUAUGCCCUUAGAUGUUCUGGGCCGCACGCGCGCUACACUGAAGGAAUCAGCGUGUCUUCCCUGGCCGAGCGGCCCGGGUAACCCGUUGAACCUCCUUCGUGCUAGGGAUUGGGGCUUGCAAUUUUUCCCCAUGAACGAGGAAUUCCCAGUAAGCGCGAGUCAUAAGCUCGCGUUGAUUACGUCCCUGCCCUUUGUCCACACCGCCCGUCGCUACAUCCGAUUGAAUGAUUUAGUGAGGUCUUCGGACCGGUACGCGGUGGCGUUUCGACGUUGCCGAUGUUGCUGGGAAGAUGACCAAACUUGAUCAUUU